CCUACGGGGGGCUGCAGUGAGGAAUAUUGGUCAAUGGGCUUACGCCUGAACCAGCCAAGUCGCGUGAGGGAAGACUGCCCUAUGGGUUGUAAACCUCUUUUGUCAGGGAGCAAUUGGCGCUACGUGUAGCGUUAUCGAGAGUACCUGAAGAAAAAGCAUCGGCUAACUCCGUGCCAGCAGCCGCGGUAAUACGGAGGAUGCGAGCGUUAUCCGGAUUGAUUGGGUUUAAAGGGUGCGUAGGCGGAAUGCCAAGUCAGCGGUAAAAUCGCGGGGCUCAACCUCGCUCCGCCGUUGAAACUGGCGUUCUUGAGUGGGCGAGAAGUAUGCGGAAUGCGUGGUGUAGCGGUGAAAUGCAUAGAUAUCACGCAGAACUCCGAUUGCGAAGGCAGCAUACCGGCGCCCAACUGACGCUGAAGCACGAAAGCGUGGGUAUCGAACAGGAUUAGAUACCCUAGUAGUC
rnacentral:rRNA from 1 species